GGAUAAAUACAGGGCAUGCCUGCUUCAAUCAGCAGAUGCUGCAGAUCCACAGUGUGUAAAAGAGGCAACAAAAAAGCAGCUUUUGCAGGUCUCUAUCUCUUGUAUAAAACAGUAGGUAACUUCCUAGGUUUCACUCUUUUUAGUGUACUAGAUCCAGAAAUUUAGUGUAAUGUCCUGCUUUAUAUUUCUUUGACUUAACAUUGGUUUCAGAAAGAAUAUUUGCUACCUAGAAUCCACAGUUUCAAUUUCAUGGCAACACUGGAUAACGGCUUUAUGAAACUGAGACAAAUUUGGAACAACUGCAAAGAGAUGCCAAAUAAUUGAUGGUUAUUGUUGCUGCUUCAAAUAAGUAUAAAAUUAAUGUCAAGAAAGCCCAUUCUUUCAUAUUAGAUACUUAGGUUGGGGAGAUCGGAAGAGCGUCAUGU